UGUAGUCCAUAAAAAUAUUUCUACCAAUGUAUUUUCAUUUCAUCAAUAACAAUAAGUUUGCCCUAUGUAUAUUUUAUUUUAUGAGAUGAAGUGUGAGAAAGAGUGUGAUCCUUUUUCAGAUUGCUAAGGCUUGGAUCUGGAUAGACCUGGAAGUAGUAUGGAAGAAUUAUUUGAUUAUUAUGAAUGGAGUCCAGAUGAUUAUUCAUAUUAAACAUCUGCCUCCUAAUGCAAUCAUCAAAGGAUAAUGAAAAUGAACCGUCAACUACCGAGAACAAAUGGUGUUAUUUUCCUGGAGCAGUAGCCCCGAAGUCAGGAUCUUCUAUUGUAUAGUGAUUUUUUACAAGAAACAAAAUUGACAAAAAGGUUGUUUUCUAAUA
rnacentral:lncRNA from 1 species